rnacentral:rRNA from 1 species
GACGAACGCUGGCGGCGUGCUUAACACAUGCAAGUCGAACGGAAAGGCCCUGCUUUUGUGGGGUGCUCGAGUGGCGAACGGGUGAGUAACACGUGAGUAACCUGCCCUUGACUUUGGGAUAACUUCAGGAAACUGGGGCUAAGACAGUAUAGGAGCUGCCGUUCCAUGGAGGGGGUGGGAAAGUUUCGGCGGGUGGGGAUGGACGAGCGGCUGAUCAGCUUGUUGGUGGGGUAGUGGCAGACCAAGGCUUUGACGGGUAGCCCGCCGGAGAGGGUGACCGGGCACAUUGGUACUGCGAUACGGCCCAGUCUCCUACAGUGGGCAGCAGUGGGGAGUCUUGCCCAGUCAGCGCGCGCCUGUUGCGGCGGCGCCCCGUGCGGAAUGACGGCCUUCGGGUUGUGAACCGCUUUCGCCUAUGACCACGCGUUACUGACGGUAAUCAAUGAAGAAGCACCGGCUAACUACGUG